ACACGUGGGGAAUCGUUGUCAGUGUUCUCGCUGUGGUUCUCUUCAUCGCUUUAAUUGCAGUUGUCAUUUAUUUCCGGCGCCGUAUCAGUAAGUAUGAAAAGCAGAAACAGGGAGAGACUGCACCAAACACUGACGGACUGUUAAAACAGGGAGAGAACCAGGGAGAACCAAUCCACCUGUAACCAACAGAAUGAUCCCACCCACCUGGAACCAACAGAAUGAUCCCACCAACCUGUAACCAACAGAAUGAUCCCACCCACCUGUAACCAACAGAAUGAUCCCACCCACCUGUAACCAACAGAAUGAUCCCACCCACCUGGAACCAACAGAAUGAUCUGUCAAUGAGACUGGAGUGAGACCCACCCCUGACUGACUGAGAGGCAACCAAUCACAUUCAUGCCCGUCCAGAGACAACCAAUCACAGUCUCUUGUCAGACCCGUCCAGGGACAACCAAUCACAGUCAGACCUGUCCAGAGACGACCAAUCACAGUCAGACCUGUCCAGAGACAACCAAUCACAGUAAGACCUGUCCAGAGACAACCAAUCAUAGCUAGGCCCACCCCCCUGACUUCCUGAUGACUCAUUAUGAGAAGCCUUUAUGUGCUUGAUCAUGUUUCAUUGUAAAAUUGUCGAGUUAGAAAUUGUUGUAAGUUGUGGAUUACCUUGUUAGUAAUCUUUCUGAUAGUAAGAGAACCAGACUGUUAUGUUUUUUUGAAGAAGGGAGUCAGGGAGGAGGGUCCAGUAUGGGUCAACUUUGAGAGCCCUGUCUCCUGGUCGUUCUGGUGAAUGAGACCACAUUCAAACAGCCUCUCAUAUCAAUUAACAAAUUGUGUACAUCUAGAAGGGUGAGGUCAGACAGUGAUUGAUUUCUGACAAAUCAAUCAGUUAUACUGUAAAGCUCUGGAAGAUUUUCUCCACUUGUUAGGGAUUAAUGAAUGAAUGAAUGAGUAUAGUAUGUGUGUGUGAGAGAGUGAGUGUGUGUGUGUGA